AUGGUGAAUGAUGUAAAGACUAUUGAGGGGGGUAGAAGUAAUACAUAUAAGACAUCAGGGCUCUGUACUAAUAAGAUGAGAUAAGAUGGGGCAUGUGUUUUGCAUCUACAUUGUCGUGGACUAAUGCCAUGGAGAGUCGAAAAUGCAAAAAGAUAUGCAUUACUACUUGAUGUUUGAGUUUAUAGGGAGAGGUUCGUUCGGCUCGGAUGGUAAUUUUAUUUGCGAUUGACCUGCUGUUGAUGCGCGGUAUGCCUCUGGGCCUUGGGCGAGGAAGGCAUAGCAUGUCUGUUGCUCUCUGCGCAUUGCGUCGUCGUGUUCGCUUAGUUCAGCAUCGCCUUCUAUUAUUGGCUCUGUGGUUGAUCAUUAGUCCACUCUGUAUGUUGAUCCUGCUAGUGGAUUCUUCUGCUGAUAAGGAUGCU